ACGUAGGUGGCAAGCGUUGUCCGGAAUUAUUGGGCGUAAAGAGCAUGUAGGCGGGCUUUUAAGUCCGGCGUGAAACUGCGGGGCUUAACCCCGUAUGGCGCUGGAAACUGGAGGUCUUGAGUGCAGGAGAGGAAAGGGGAAUUCCCAGUGUAGCGGUGAAAUGCGUAGAUAUUGGGAGGAACACCAGUGGCGAAGGCGCCUUUCUGGACUGUGUCUGACGCUGAGAUGCGAAAGCCAGGGUAGCAAACGG
rnacentral:rRNA from 1 species